GUGAGGAAUCUUGCGCAAUGGGCGAAAGCCUGACGCAGCGACGCCGCGUGGAGGAUGAAGGUCUUCGGAUCGUAAACUCCUGUCGAGCGGGACGAAUCCCGGGAGGGUGAACAAUCCUCUCGGUUGACGGUACCGCUGGAGGAAGCCCCGGCUAACUCCGUGCCAGCAGCCGCGGUAAUACGGAGGGGGCCAGCGUUGUUCGGAAUCAUUGGGCGUAAAGGGCGCGUAGGCGGCCGAGCAAGUCGGAUGUGAAAUACCCCGGCUCAACUGGGGAAUUGCAUCUGAAACUGCUUGGCUUGAGUCCUGGAGAGGGUAGUGGAAUUCCCAGUGUAGCGGUGAAAUGCGUAGAUACUGGGAGGAACACCGGUGGCGAAGGCGGCUACCUGGACAGGUACUGACGCUGAGGCGCGAAAGCUAGGGGAGCAAACAGGAUUAGAUACCCGGGUAGUCC
rnacentral:rRNA from 1 species